GUAUAUUUAUUGCGAUCUCUUUAUUUCCACCCAGAAUUCGGGCAGGGUGCCAAGAGGCCGGUAUAUAUAAAAGUAAAAUAAAACAGAAGACAAGCAAUAGUCUUGUGACUUUUCGACAUUUUAGGGACUACAAACCCCAGUGGACAGGGUUGGCUGGGGCGCAUGAUGGGGUUUGUAGUCCGAAGCCGCAGAGGGAAGAACCAGAGUCUCGAGGCUUUCGACGCCUCGGGCUCUGAAAAUGAAGCGCUGGGGAUCGAGCAGGAAGCCUAACCAGGCUCCCUUCCUCUGAAGAGUUAAAGCCAACGAGUCGUGCUUCCUAGAGAGAGACUUCUGGCGGGCGAGGAGCAGAGAGAGAGGGAUAGAGAGGAAGGAAAGGCAGGCCCUACGGCGCUGUUCCUCCUCCUCCUCCCCACUUCCGGCCCCUCCCUCCACUCGUGGGAAUUCGGGCGGGGAUUUUCCCACGCCUCCGCUUCCCCGGACCAAAGGGCGAGCGCGGGGGGUAGAGAUGGACUCCGGCUCUCCAAAAAAGUUUUGUGCUGAACCAGGGAUCCGAUCUAGGUUUUCCUCUUUGUAACCCUCGGCUUUGGCUGUGUCUUCGCAGAAGAAAAUGGAAAAGUAAAUGUAAAGUAAAGUUCAUGGUUCUCCUUCACAGCCACCUGAAUGAGCCAUUGAACCUUUCAACGUGGUGGGUCGGAAACAAACCCAAUGCAGCCACCUCAGAGUCCUGUGGUUUUUGAGGAGGUGGCCAUAUAUUUUACCAGAGGAGAAUGGGUUCUGCUGGAUGUCACUCAGAGAGAUCUGUACACCGAUGUCAUGCUGGAAAAUUAUGGGAAUUUAGCCUUCCUGGGCUGUGCUCUGGCGUUGGAGGCCAGUUCUGAGUGGCCUCUUCCUUCAGAGGGAGCGGGAAGAGCGCCUGCCCGAGCCGCACAGGUAGGGGGGGAAAGAUCGCCAGGAAGGUGAGGAAACGGCCUCCUCCUCUUUCCCUUUUCCUCCUCAAGGAGCUGCGGCUUCUUUUCUCUCUCUGUCCCACCAAGUCACCUUCCACCGAGGUGGCCGGUGCAGCCGUUCCACCCAGUCUGGCUAGAGAUGGACGGGCGUAGGAUGGUGAGAGCGGGUUCGUGCAGUGUGUCCCUGUGGAUGAUGCAUGAGGGGUGAGCCCACCUAGUGCUCCAGGGCUGAGACACGGGGCCCAAAUGAGAGAAUUGCAUGGAGAACGGGAGAGCUGGGUGCAAGGCGGAAGGUGGAUUGGACGACCCUUCCACCUUCAUAUCCCCUAAGGAGAAAGAGGUGGCUGGUUUUUAGGUUGAAGGUGCCGGAGAGAUGACUCAGGUGACCUUGAGGGUGUGUCACUCACAAGUGUGAUAGAGGUGAGAAGGAGCAAGGACGUUGCAGCCUGGUAGACAAACGUUGACAUCAAGCAGAAGAUUCUUGGUGGCUGCUGUUCCCAUAAGUAAUCUCAAGGACCGUAUCCAUCAGGAGAGGCCUUUCUCUUGGCCCCACCACCCUCACCGGUGUGUUUGGUUGGGGCACAGGAGAGGGCCUUCUCUGUGGCGGCUCCCAGAGAUUCUGGAACUCCCUCCCACUAGAGGCCAGC
rnacentral:lncRNA from 1 species